ensembl:lncRNA
GCCACACCCAUCAUGGCGGACGCCGUCGGUGGUGCGCCCAUGGCGGGGCCGCUGCUUUAUUGUGCCGACGGCCCUGUCCCGGCCCCGUUCCCGGGGGAGGUUUCCCGUGUCCCGGGCUCAGGCGGAGCUGGGGGUGACGCGCCCGUCGCCCGCCUCGCUCAGGGCGGCCCAUUCCUUGCGCUGGAUCGUUCCCGUCUUCUCCUCGCGGAACUGCUGCCGCUGCUCCCGCGGGAUCUUCACCGCGUGGUGCUGCGGCAGCGCCGGCGGCACGGCCCGCGCCCGGCGGAAGAACCCCACCUGCGGCACCGGGCGCCCCGGUCACGCACCGGCAUCGGCACCGCGCCACGUGUCCCGGUUCGGGCGCGGCCAAGCCCCCCGCACCCGCGCACAGACACCUCAGGGCGCUGCCGGCCCUUGCCCACCCCUGCGCCCGCCUGCUCGCUGCCCACUGGUGCCUUCCCGGGCCGUCUGCUGUGGCACGGAAUGGCUGGGUGGCAGGGAAUAGGGUGGCAUGGCAUGGCAUGGAAUGGCAUGGCAUGGCUGGGUGGCAUGGCAUAGGGUGGCAUGGCAUGGAAUGGAAUGGAGUGGCUGGAUGGCAUAGAAUAGGGUGGCAUGGCAUGGAAUGGAAUGGCUGGAUGGCAUGGAAUAGGGUGGCAUGGCAUGGAAUGGCAUGGCUGGGUGGCAUGGCAUGGCGUGUGGUGGCAUGGUAUGGCAUUGCAUAGAGUGGUGUGGCAUGACAUAGCAUGGUGUGGCAUGGCACAGCUGGCAUGGCGUGGCUGGGGUGGCACAGCACGGCACAGCGCUGCAUGGCGCUGCACGUCACUGCACAGCACAGCGCUGCACGGCGCUGCAGGGCACAGCACCCCCAGGGGAUCCCGCACCCCGGGAGGGGGCCACCUCCCGCUGCCGUGACCCCGUCCCCACCGCUCACCUUCCAGAGGACGGCCACGAGCAGCGCCAGGAGGAGGACACCGGCCAGCACCGCCAGCAGGAUCACCCACCAGGGCACGCCGCCGGCCACCGCCGCGCCGGGGUCCAGCACCAGGUUCUUGAUGGAGGAUGUCACCGAGACGCUGGCGCGGAUGAUGAGCUCCACCGAGGUGACGGCCAGGAACUCCUGCGGGGCGGGGGGGGAUGAGCCCCGGCCCUGGCCCCAUCCCUGGCCCCAUCCCUGCCCCUGUCCCAUCGCUCCCACCUCCAGGAAGGUGCCGUUCCAGAGGCGGCCGCGGGCGCUCAGCACGGCCGCGCGCUCGAAGCUGGGCAAUGGGCAGCGGAAGGGCCAGCAGCGCGCGGUGCCCUGGGCACAGUCCUGCGGAGGGGUCAGACACCAGCGGGGUACCCAGGCGCAGGGGUGUCCCAAGAAUGGGGGUACCCCAGGAGCGGGUGCAACCCGUGAGCAGAGGCGCCCCAUGAGUGGGUGCACCCCAUAAGCGGGGGUACCCCAGGAGAGGGUGUGUAGGAAUGGGGGCACCGCAGGAGCAGGGGUACGCCAAGAACAGAUGAACCCCAUGAGCAAUGGUACCUCAGGCAUAGGGGCACCCCAUAAGCAGGGACACCCCAUAACUGGGUGCACCCCAUGAGCGGGCGCUCCCCAUGUAGGGUCCCCCCCUCUCACCAACGUGACGUUCCUCCUCCUCUUGGCGGGCGCCAGCACCCACCAGGCCCCUGGCGUGGGUGGCUCCGGCUGCCCCGGGGGCUCCUGUGGGGGGUAAAGGCCGGGAAUGGGGCGGGAGCGCUGGGAGCCGGACGGGCGCUGGCGGGUCCCUGCGGCUGCGGCCGUACCAGCGCCAGGCGCAGCGGGUUGGCGGCGGGGCUGCAGGGCACCGCCUGCCCCGGCGCCGCCGCCAGCUCCACGUGCAGCGGGUACAGGAGCCACUUCCCGUUGGGGAGCUCGUGGGGCCAGAGCAGCGUCAGGAAGGCUGAGCCGAGCGUCUUCACCGACUGGCCCCGGUUGGAGACCUGCGGGGACCGGGCGUCAAUGGGGCUGCCCCAUAAGUGAGCAUGGGGCGGGCUGUGGGGCCGCCCCCCCGAUGGGCACUCACCGUCACCUCGAAGCGCACGGCGCUGCCCACUUGGCUCUCACGCUUCACGGCGCUCUCCCCCAGCACGGUGCCGCCAAAGAAGAGCCGCGGUGGCACCGCCACGCUAUGGGGACAACGUGGAGGGAGUCACAGCAAGGCCUGGGGCGGGGUCCCGGCCCCACACCUGCACUAUGGGGACAACAGGGGGUCCCCACCCGCGCUCACCCCGUCACCGAGAGCGGCAGCUCGAUGACCACACGGGCACGAGCCACCACCGGCGCCAGCCCCGGCUGCUCGCUGAUGCUGGGGGGGCAAUGGGGAGUUAAAGGGGGUUAUGGGGGGGGCAUCACCCCCAAAUCCCCCCCCGUGAUGUGCCCAUGGCCGUGGCUCACGUGGACAGCGCCAGCUCCACCGCCAGGUCCGUGGUCUGCAACGUGAUGCCCGAGGUGCUGAGGAUGAGGAAGAACCGGACCUGGGGGCAGAGGAAGAGUGAGAGGGGCAGGAGCGGGGGGGCAGGAGCGGGAGGGCAGGAGCAGGGUCUCGGGGGGGCUGCACCCACCUCGGCCCCGCGCCGCAGGGGGUUCCCCAGCUCACACUCCACCCGGGAGCCGUUCUGGUUGGCGAGACACAGCACCGGCUUCUCCUGGGGGGCAGAGAGCUGAGCCCCCCCUGCACCCCAUAGUGACCCCCCCUCACUCCAUGGUGACCCCCCCAUCACCCCACGGCCCAUCCUUGCCCCCCAUGGCGCACCGCGGGGCGCCCCUCAUCCUGGCGCAGGGCAGAGUAGGGCAGCUCGGGGGGGAAGGAGGCGCUGAGCAGCGCCUCGUGCGCGUCGUCCCCGUCCCGCUGCGGCUCCGCCGGCUCCGAGGGCUCGUUGGUGACGUGGAUCUCCAGGGCCACGUCCUUCUGGUCGCUGAUGGCGAGGAUGGCGGCGCCAUCGUCCCCCCUGCGGCACAGCCACCGUGAGACCCCCCCCGGGGUGUCCCCAGCGCCCCAUGGGGGGAGCACCCACCGGUCCCCCCCUCACCGCGGCAGCGGCAGGAACUCGGCGUCCCCAAGGCGGGCGCAGAACUGGAAGCGAAGCUGGAGGUUGCUCUGGCAGAUCUUGUCGUCCCCACAGCCCUGCUUCAGGAAGUGAACCUGGGGGGCACGGGGGGACAGGGAUGCUCCAGGCAAUGGGACCCAUGGAGCGGGAAGGGGGGACGUGGCCGGUGCCCACCUCAGUGCGGUGGCUGUUGGGCUGCUGUGGGCUGAGCACCGGUGACAGGGGCGGCAGGACCGAGCCCCGGCGGAGCCGUGUUGGAUCCCGGCGCUGCCGCGCGGCCCCAUCCCCAUGAAUGCCAUAAGCCAGGGUCAUGGUGAUGGGGCGCAGCUUGUCACGGAUGUUGUCCUGCGGGAAUGAGGGUGAGGGCGGGGUUGGGAUGGGAAUACAGAUGGGGAUGAGGAUGGGGAUGGAAGCAGGGAUGAGGUUUACAGUUGGACUCAACAGUCUUAAAGGUGUUUUCCAACCUG